CCCCCCCCACUUUCUUUCCUCUUUCAUCACAAACCCUAGGCGCCUCCUGCAUUCUCUCUCCUCUCUCAUCGCCAAAAAUGGCAAAUGCUCAGACCUCAGCCAGGUUUUAUGCGUCUAAAUGCAUACAACAAUUAAUGCUUUAACAUAUUUUCACCCGAAAUUGCUCCAAACACGGGCUAGGUCUUGAGAUGGGAAGCACAAGGUUUCCAAAUUCAUUCUUGACAGAGGCUGCACAUAAAAAAGAUUGGAAGCACAAGGUUUUAAAAAAAUCUUGAUAGAGGCUGCACAUAAAAAAGAUUUUGACGAGAUUGCAACGUCAAUUCGGAAUAGCAAAAGAAGCGGAAAGAGGUCAGCAGACAGGCGGAUUUGAUCCUUAGAAGCUCUACCAGCAGUGUUGACAGUGCUCCAGUUAUUCCGGAGCCUCACUUCCUUGGUACUAUUUUGUGUAUAUAUAUUCGGGCACGGCAGUACUCAGCCCUUUCUAUGUAUAAACGUACUAUGUCUAGAGGCUCGUAGACAGAUAUGUACAGUCAGUUAAGUAUAGUUAGGUAUAUGGUGUUUUGGCAUGCUAAUGUUGAUGUAUAAGUGAUAACGAAGUUUAUUAGUCUAUGUUCAGAAUGAUGCCGCUAAUGUUAAUGUUCAAAAAAAAAAUGGCUCUGUUUACAUGGCUUGCUAAGAGGUAAAGGUAAAACGAUAGACAAGGGGUGCUCGGUACAAGUAUCGGGUACUCGUCACGGCCCCUAGACGGGUCGUGACACACACAAUCCCCUAGUGGGCGAACCAUCCCCUUAUCCCUUUUACUUAAUCAUUUCAACAAUUAUAAAAUCAUGACCAGAAAUAAAUCAUAAAUAAAUCUAAUUAUUGCCAUAAAUAAAAUAACUACGGAAGUCCUAACUAUUACAACCCCAAAGAUCCGAAAGUCAUCGUAUAAGGACUCUAAAACAUAAAGUUGUCUAAUGAAUGAAUUAAAUAUCUAACAUAAUCAUAAAUAUCUGGAAUGAAAGUAGACAUCCAAAUAAGGAAAGAUCUUCAGGCGGCAUGGCAUGGAUAGGAGCUCACCCUCAGAUCUGAUCGAGAAUGUAACGACCCGUUUGGCCGUUACGGUACUUUUGACCUUGUUGACCCUUUUCGAGUUUCAUUAGCUUAUAUUAGACUUGCGGGAAUGGAUAGUACGAUUUUCGAGGUCAUCGGAUGAAUAUGAGAUUGGUUUUUAUGAUAAUAAGCCUUAAAGCGAAAGAUGUUUGACCCAGAGUUGACUUUGGGGUAAACAGACCUUUUUCAAAAAUUCGUCAAUUCCGAGAGGUCCGGAUGGUCGUUUGUGACUUGUGGGUAUGUGCGGUUCGGUUCCCAAUGCAUUAGAAUGCGUUUUGGGACUUGGAUUAGAAAGUUGGUUUUUGGAGUAUUGGGGGGAUGACUUGGUCAACGAGCCUCCCGUUGGGAAAUCCAAGGCCACAAGUAAGUUCGUAGCGCGUUUUCAUGUGUGUUUGCAUAUUUAUGUUGUAUCUGUGGGGACUCGGGUGAUAGUCGAAUUUCAGGUUGAGACUUGUGGAAUUUUGGGAAAUUCUAGUGUCUGGUGCAUCGCCACGGCGACACCAAGACCGCGGCAGCAGUAUCCCUACUGUGAUGGCCCUGCCGCUAUUUCGGCCUAUAGAAAUUGUGAUUGACCACUAGGGCGGCCAAGUCACCGCUGCAGCGGCACCGCUGUAGCAGACUACAGACCGCUGUAGCGGUCGACGGGGAGUUAAAUGACGUAAAAUCAUCUUUCAAACCCUAUCACUCCUCAUUCAUUACUCUCGGUUUUAGUGCGACUUUGGGAGCAAAACAAGAGAUCCUAAGGAAAUUCUUCAUUGGGGUAAGUUCAUCUAACCCUAUUCAUCAUUUAUAAUUCAUAAUCCACCUUAGAAACUCCCUGAUUCAUGCUGGAGUCUUCCAAUAACUUAUGGAAUAAAGAGGGUUCUUGGGGUUUCUUUCUUAAAUGAUUUUUUGGUUAUCAAACCUUUAUUUUUUGAUGGAAUAAGCUUAUACUAGUAUGGAAUUGAUGGAUAAUAGCUUUGUAAACAUGAUUCCUUCAUUAUUAGUAACCAAUUUGUGAAUUUGAGAAUUAGGGUUCAUACCCAAAUUGGGGGUUUCUCUAUAAAUACGAAUUUAGCUUAAUAUUGAGUUUUUUUUUAGAAUUGAUUAGUGGGUUUUGAUCACUUAGACUUGAAUUGCAUGUUUCACUUUCGAAUUUCCCGUUUCCCCAAAUCCCAUAGGCUUAAGUUGACCAAAUUAGAAGCCUAGAAAUAUGGGUACUGUUCUUCAUUAUUUCUAAUCUAGAUUACGUUAUAAAUAGAUCCUGAGUAUUUGGAGUCAUUGAGGAAGGGCAACGCGCUCGCAUGAUUGUUUGGGAUUUCUGUUCGGCAUUCUAGGUAGGUUAUGGCUUACCUUUUGGUUAGACUUCGGUUAGCGACUCGUAUGUAGUACUUGGGAAUUGUUGGAGACAUCAUGUGAACCGUUGGAUAUGAAGUUUUGGAUGGAAUUCUUAGGUUGGUACUGUUGUGUGACUUGUGUGUUCGGGCACGUCGGUCGUAGAAUCCUUAGGUUUAUGCUUAGCCUUUUUAUGAGAAUUGGUGGUUUCUAUGUAUUAUGGAAGACUGGUUGGAAGGAACGGAUUUAUGUGAUGUACUAUGAUGGUUGUACUUAUAUGAAUUGACUGGAAUCCAUCUGUUAUUUUUGAUAUUCUCAUUGCAUGAUAUACUUUCCCAUAUCCAUAAUACAUCUGUCUUGGUCUUGAUAUUGGAAAAUUGUGAUGACGGAGGUAAGUAUGAUUCAAGCGACAUGCUAUAUUUGCGGAGCCAUCUCUAUGCUAUGUGAUACAGAGUGGUUAGCAACGAUUUGGAUGGCGAAGUCAUUCUAGGCUGUGUGAUAUGGAAUGACGGUACAUGGACUUAGCGGUUCCCCAUGGGUCAUGACUGUCGAGAGGUGGACAUCGUCCCCCCGGAGCAUGUAUAUAUCAUUGAAUUGCAUUUUAUAUGCAUUCAUAGUAUAUGUUCUUAUUGUCAUUUGGAUUGAUAUUGAUCUUUGGUUAUAUUUGAGUUACUGGUUGAGUAUUUGGUUAUGUUUGGACUUGUGAAAUAUUUGAGACAUGGUUUGGUAAUUUAUUACACUAUUUGUACUUGUUGACUUGUAUGUGUCUGUGAGCAUGAUUAUCUUCCUGUUUCCUUGUUUGCAUGGGUGGUCUAACUGAUGUCAGCCUAUGAUGCUUACUCAGUACCGUGUUUUGCACUGAUGCUACCUUGCUGUACUCUUUUU